CAGUAGCCGCGGUAAUACGGAGGGUGCAAGCGUUAAUCGGAAUUACUGGGCGUAAAGCGUGCGCAGGCGGUUACAUAAGACAGAUGUGAAAUCCCCGGGCUCAACCUGGGACCUGCAUUUGUGACUGUAUAGCUAGAGUACGGUAGAGGGGGAUGGAAUUCCGCGUGUAGCAGUGAAAUGCGUAGAUAUGCGGAGGAACACCGAUGGCGAAGGCAAUCCCCUGGACCUGUACUGUCGCUCAUGCACGAAAGCGUGGGGAGCAAACAGGAUUAGAUACCCCCGUAGUCCCUGUCUCUUAUAC
rnacentral:rRNA from 1 species